CCUACGGGAGGCAGCAGGAGGGAAUAGUGCUCAAUAGGGGAAACCCGGAAGCAGCAACGCCGAGGGGAGGAUGAAGGUGUUCGGAGUGGAAACUCCUUGUGGUAGAGAAGAGAAUGACGGUACCUAACGAAUAAGCACCGGCGAACGCCGUGCCAGCAGCCGCGGUAAUACGGAGGGUGCAAGCGUGACUCGGAACCACUGGGCGUAAAGAGCGCGUAGGCGGGAUAGCAAGUCAGAUGUGAAAUCCUCUGGCUUAACCAUAGAACUGCAUUUGUAACUGUUAUUCUAGAGUAUGGGAGAGGUAGGUGGAAUUCUUGGUGUAGGGGUCACAUCCGUAGAGAUCACGAGGAAUACUCAUUGUGACGGCGCCCUGCUAGAACAUAACUGACGCUGAUGCGCGACAGCGUGGGGAGCAAACAGGAUUAGCUACCCUAGUAGUC
rnacentral:rRNA from 1 species